GAAAUGCGAUAAGUAAUGUGAAUUGCAGAAUUCAGUGAAUCAUCGAAUCUUUGAACGCACCUUGCGCUCCUUGGUAUUCCUUGGAGCAUGCCUGUUUGAGUAUCAUGAAAUCUUCAAAGUAAAUCUUUUGUUAACUCAAUUGGUUUCUACUUUGGUAUUGGAGGUCUUUGCAGCUUCACACCUGCUCCUCUUUGUUCAUUAGCUGGAUCUCAGUGUUAUGCUUGGUUCCACUCGGCGUGAUAAGUUAUCUAUCGCUGAGGACACUGUAAAAGGUGGCCAAGGUAAAUGCAGAUGAACCGCUUCUAAUAGUCCAUUGACUUGGACAAUACUUUUAUGAUCUGAUCUCAAAUCAGGUAGGACUACCCGCUAGACUUAAGC
rnacentral:misc_RNA from 1 species